GGAUAUAUAGCUCAGUUGGUCAGAGCGGCGGCCUUAUAAGCCGUGUGUCGGUGGUUCGAGUCCACCUAUAUCUA
rnacentral:tRNA from 1 species